CACGUAGGGUGCGAGCGUUGUCCGGAAUUAUUGGGCGUAAAGGGCUCGUAGGCGGUUUGUCGCGUCGGGAGUGAAAACCCAGGGCUUAACCCUGGGCUGGCUUCCGAUACGGGCAGACUAGAGGUAUGCAGGGGAGAACGGAAUUCCUGGUGUAGCGGUGAAAUGCGCAGAUAUCAGGAGGAACACCGGUGGCGAAGGCGGUUCUCUGGGCAUUACCUGACGCUGAGGAGCGAAAGUGUGGGGAGCGAACAGG
rnacentral:rRNA from 1 species